rnacentral:rRNA from 1 species
UUGACCUCAAAUCGAGUAGGACUACCCGCUGAACUUAAGCAUAUCAAUAAGCGGAGGAAAAGAAACUAACAAGGAUUCCCCUAGUAACGGCGAGUGAAGAGGGAAGAGCUCAAAUUUUAAAUCUGGCGUCUUUGGCGUCCGAAUUGUAAUCUAGAGAAGUGUUUUCCGUGACGGACCGUGCACAAGUCUCCUGGAAUGGAGCGUCAUAGAGGGUGAGAAUCCCGUAUAU